AGUGAACGCUGGCGGUAGGCCUACCCCUGCAAGUCGAACGGCAGCACCGUAAGAGCUUGCUCUUACGGGUGGCGAGUGGCGGACGGGUGAGGAAUACAUCGGAAUCUACUUUUUCGUGGGGGAUAACGUAGGGAAACUUACGCUAAUACCGCAUACGACCUACGGGUGAAAGCCGGGGAUCUUCGGACCUUGCGCGAUUGAAUGAGCCGAUGUCGGAUUAGCUAGUUGGCGGGGUAAAGGCCCACCAAGGCGACGAUCCGUAGCUGGUCUGAGAGGAUGAUCAGCCACACUGGAACUGAGACACGGUCCAGACUCCUACGGGAGGCAGCAGUGGGGAAUAUUGGACAAUGGGCGCAAGCCUGAUCCAGCCAUACCGCGUGGGUGAAGAAGGCCUUCGGGUUGUAAAGCCCUUUUGUUGGGAAAGAAAAGCAGCAGGUUAAUACCCCGCUGUUCUGACGGUACCCAAAGAAUAAGCACCGGCUAACUUCGUG
rnacentral:rRNA from 1 species